rnacentral:misc_RNA from 1 species
UUUCCGUAGGUGAACCUGCGGAAGGAUCAUUAUUAUUUCACCGAGGUGCUCGCGGUGUCCCUGACCCUAACGGCGGUGCACGCCCGAGACCCCCCCCACCCCCCCAUCUCACCCCCCUUUUCACCCCCGCGCCCUUCCCCCUCUUGCUUUUUCGGAGCGGGCCUUACGUUUUCACCAAAACUUUGUUUGCAUCGAGGAUUGCCUUUUUUGUUUUUGCGAAUCGGCACACCAUUCAACUUUCAACAUCUGAUCUCUUGCCUCUCGCAUCAAUGCAGAACG